UGAAAAUAAUAAGACUAACACCUAACCCAUAGCCAGAAAAGAAAAUAGAUUUGAAAAAAAACCAAAGGAUAUGAUUUUCCUACCCAACCACAUUUAAUGCAGAAACCGCGCUUUCAAAUCAACACUUUUCAAAAAGUAGACGGUUUCGGCUUCCAAGGAACCAAACCCCAUUUCCAAUCUGACGUUCCUCGUCCCUUUUAAUUCCCUGCACACCCCAUUUCAGUCUGGUUCACGCUGUCUCUCCGCCUCCAUUCUCCGCACGGUGAAGUAGGGGACUCCUCCAUACAUCAUGCAAUGGCUUCCGCAGCAAAAGGCGAGCCAACAUUCGGGUGAAAAACUGCUCGUGAAACCAGAACCUCACCAUGGGAGUUUCUUGCUACUAUGCCAGAGCACGAUCUAAAGCUCUCUUUCUCAAAGGCACCAUCAAAAUUGAUUUUAACAAUCGAUCCAGUUGGGGGUCUCUAUUUGGCCUUCGUUCUACUCCUAAUAUACUGCCUAACCUCCGUAUCAUCUAGUUCCCUCAAAUACCAGCCAAUAGUAUCUGAGAUAUCCUUUCCAGACUUUUGCUUUCUCUCAUGUACUGUUUUAUUUCUUUCAGACCAAAGAGUCCAUAGAGCACAUCCAAACAUUCGACUCUGAUGUUGAGAGCUUUCCGCAAAAACUCAAGUAGGCCAAUCCAAGUACUCCAAAUCUGGCCUAUUCAAAACCUAGAUUACUCCUAAACAGGUCCAGACUUCUAUUGAUGUAGGACACUUUUUAAAGACAUGGUCCACAGACUCCAAUUCUCCCCCACACCGAGGACAUCCUAUAUUCACCACCAAUUUUCUUUGUCUCAAAUUUGGGAAAAUAGGAAUAAAUUUUCUUGCAAUUUUCUAGAUUGUAAUUUUCACUUUAGCUGGUAGCUGUAAGUUCCACAGCUUCUUAUAGAAAGCUUCAGUAGCGGUCUGUAAUGCAUUAAAAUUAGGGCCAAAGUUGCUUACUUGUAAUAGUUUAUAAGCACUGCGGAUAAAGAAUUCACCCAACGGUUCGCCUUGCCACACCACUAGGUCGUCAUGACGCUCCUUUUCCAAGGGAAUCUGUAAUAUCCUGCCCGCAUCUCUUUCCGAGAAGGUAUUGAAAAUUACUUCCCAUUUCCAUUCUCUGCUAGUUUUAUCAAUCAAAUCUGCAACAAAAGAUACAUCAUGACUUUGCAUGUUAUCACAUAA